rnacentral:piRNA from 1 species
UUCAAGAAGGUAAAGCAGAGAGCGGAC